AUGGACACUGCUGCCAGAGAGGAUUUCCAGAGACAAUUAGGAGCCAAAGCACUUGGGACAAACUUGAAGGCACUGGAUCAUCAUCACAGCUCAGGCUCCCCAAACCUUCCCAGGGGAAGGGUUAAUCAGGGGAUAAUGUCCCCUCUUAUUGCCCCUCAACUGGGGGCCAUGCAGAGCCAAAAAACAGGGCAGAGGCUCCAGCCCAGCUUCUCUUACUGGGAGAUGGAGAAAUGCACAGCCACAGCCCAGUUUAAAGCACCAGUGCUGAGACUGGGGCACUUCCCAAAAGGGGAAACUGAGGCAGGCCCAAGCAUUGCUCCUCCCCCCGAGCUCCCCAGAGUCCCAGGCAGCCUGAGCAUCUCCAGCAAAUCCUUCAAAUCUCUGGGAAAAGGCAGCAGCCAAAGUACCCUCACUGCCCUUGGAGAACAGGGGUACAAACACCUCCCACCUCAGCAGCUUCCUCCUCAGAGCUGGUGGUUUCUGUUCCCACCCAAAACUUUUGAGUUUUUAUCUUACUUUUCCCUGGAUUUUAACAUUCAGCAAGUCUGGGAAAGGAACAGUGCUGCUUCCCAGCUCUUCUGUACUGCUCAGACCCACCCCAGCUGCAAAAUAUGGCCACAAAGCUCUUUGGUUUUGGGAUGGGGUGUCCUGGGGGACACAGCAGCCCUGGCUCCAGGGGGAGGAUGCAGCCAGCAUCUCUCCCUGCUUCCCACCAGCCAGACCACGGGAAAUGACAGGAAUUGCUGGCAUUCUUCUGCAGCCACAGGCUUUCUCAGCCUCAGCCCUGUCCUCAGGGGCAACAGCGAGGUUUUUCCCACUGCCAUGGGAACUCUGAGUGGAUCUCGGGCUCCUCCACCCCCCAGUGUGGGGGUCCCUGGAGACCCCUGGCCCACAGGGAUACACCAGGGUGUCCAAGCUCUGGCCAACCCGGCCUUGGACAUUUUCAGGGCUCUGGAGCAGCCACAGCUUCCCUGGGCAACCUCACCACCCUCAGAGGGAAGAAUUUCUUCCUAA
rnacentral:lncRNA from 1 species